rnacentral:sRNA from 1 species
CCCUAGCCCAGAUAGCAGUGAAAAUCCUUUUAUCACUAUUUAAGGGUUUCGAACCCUGAAAUAGUGAUAAAAGAUUGCAACGAAUAGCUGGAUUAGCU